rnacentral:lncRNA from 13 species
UAAAGCAGAGAGGGCCAGGGCAGGGCUGGUGUCACCUUCCAAGGAUUCUGCGCUGGUCAGGAAGAUUCCCAGUGCCGGGAAUGCGGGGGAUGGCGCGGCACAGGCACACGUGAGGUUGUCCCAGGGUUGGGAUUUGGACUCUGAUGAUCCUCGCGAGUCCCUUCCAGCCGGGGAUAUCCCAUGAUUUUAUGAUUUCCUUGUGCUGUAGGGUGCAGGAACCCCCCAUGUCCCAUCCACGGGAACCACUGAGGAUCCCAGCGGUUCCCCUGUGCCACGGAUUUCCCAGCCUGGGCUGUCCCCACUGGCACAGGAGGCCACCAGGAGGGGACCUGGGGUGUCCCUGGCAGGGGAGGGGACACGCGGGGUGUGUGGCACUGCCCUCGCUGCCGCUCUGGCGAGCCUCUGUAUCCUCACCUGUGCACAGCCAUAAAUAAACUCCUCUGUACUCCCAUAAAUAAACUCCUCUGUAUCCCCACUGCCGCCGUUCCCACCUGGAAUCUGCUUCUGCCUGCCGCCGCCUCUUUCCCUCUCUCUUGGCCCUGCGGGGUGUCCUGUCCUGCCCUGCCCUCGGUGUCCCGGUGUUUGCCAUGUCUGCCCUAAACUCCCUCUCGGGUGGCUCCCGAGCGGUGGCGUCUCCAUCCCGGCCAUGAAGGUGGUGAAUCCGGCGUCGCGGCUGAAGCAGGGCCAGCAGGGCAGCCCCGACAAGGGCAAGCACAUCAAGCAGCGCAUGGAGUACAUGCGGAUCCAGGGCCAGCAGCAGAGCUCUCAGAGCUUCCCCCCACCAGCGUCCAGCCAGGAGCAGCUUCCAGCUCCCGCCGCGCGGAAAUUCGGGAAGCAGCGGCCGCCGAAGACACCCCCGGAGCGGCCCCCGAGGGGCCCGGGAGUCCCCGCGUUGUCCCCGCAGGAGGAGAGGACAGCUCCGGCCAGGGCUCGCCGGUGGGUGGCCGGUGGCGCCGAGGGCUCGGGGCCAUCCCGGAUCGCUGCCACCGCGGCCACCACGCCCGGCUCACCUCGAGGGGGGCAAGCGGGACCCCGGGAGUGCCGGAGGGGCCGCAGGGCGCGGGUGUGAACUGGGGAGGGGGAUCCGAGCACUUGGGGCGGGGGCAGACCCUGCGGUGCGGUGAUGCCGGGGGGGUCACCCGGCCGCGGCUCUGUCCCCUCCCUUUGGGGGCGAGCGGGCGGGACGGGAGCCCCGAGCCCCAGGGCAGCAGCCCCGGCCCCGCAGAGCCUGGGGGGGUUCCCGGGGGUCGUGGGAAGGUGGCCCGUGGCCACCUCGCAGCAGCGCGGCCCAGCCAGGUGUGGCACAGGUGUGUGCUGGGUGUGCCCAGGUGUGCCCCAGGUGUGCUCCAGCUCUGUCCAGCUGUGCCCAGCUGUGCCCAGGGGUGUGUGUGUGUGUGUGCGUGUGCUCUGCGUGUGCAACACGAGAUCCAAUCACUCCUUUCGUUCUCUAUUUCGUCCGUGGGUUGAUUCUUUUGUUUGUUUUUUUUUUUUUUAAUUUCGAUUUCAAUUCCUUUUCUCUUCCUUUUCCCCCUUCCUCCGGUUUUUUUUCUUUCGUUAUUUUUUUUCUUUUUUUUUGUAUCUCGAUCAUUUUUGUACAGAAGAAACGAGAGCCUUUUUUUUUUGAAUAACAAAGAGGAAAACACACGCGAAAAAGAACAACAGAAAAAAAAAAAAAACACCAAACCAAACCAAACCAAAAAAAAGACCGAAAAAAUGAAAAAAAAAAAAGAAAAAAAAAAAUCACGAUGCAAUUUCUUUGGAUUGCAAAAAAAGCAACUCUUUACAUUUAAGUGAAGUGUCUUAACAUUUUAUAUUGUUUUAAAAAAUAUAUUUACAUAUUAUAUAUAUAUAAUAUACGUAAUAUAAAUCUAUAUAUAAAUAUUUAAAGAGGGGGGAAAAAAAAGAAAAAGAAAAAAAACACGCCAAAAAAAAAAAGGAAAAAAAAAAAAACAAAGAAGAGAAGUAAAAUCACGUCCGGUAUUAUUUAGGGGGUGGAUUUGAAAUCCCUGCUUAGGUUUAGAGCUCCUCGUGGUUUCCAGAGCGGCUUCUUCGCUGAGUUCCCGCCCUCUUUCCUUGUCCCCAGCCCUGUCCCCAGGUCCCGGUGGCCUUGGGGACACGCGUCGCCCAGUGCCAGCAGCAAUAGCAGUCACUUGAUGCGUUUUUAAGGAAUUUCUUUGGAAUUAUUGUUCCUUUUCUCGGUACCAAAGUGAAUUCACUGUAGCAAAGCCGCAGCUUCUGGGGCUGGCCCGGGGGUGGCACCUGGCGCUGUCCCCUCCCCUGCACGGGGCUGCGUCACCUCGGGUCACCCUCGGGUCACCUCGUGUCACCCUCGGGGGGACGCGCUGACAGCCCCCCACCCCCCACUGCUGGAGGGUGUGGAGGUGACAAGUGCCACCCCCUUGGUGACACCCCCAAAAAUGUCACAGGGGGGUGACAAGUGCCACCCCUCUUUGGGGACACCCACAUGGGGAGGUGACAAGUGCCACCUCUAUGGGGACACCCCCAAAAAUGUCAUGGGGGGGUGACAAGUGCCACCUCUAUGGGGAAACCCCCAGAAAUGUCACAGGGGAGUGACAAGUGCCACCCCCUUGGUGACACCCCCAGAAAUGUCAUGGGGAGGUGACAAGUGCCACCCCCCUUUGGGGACACCCACAUGGGGAGGUGACAAGUGCCACCUCUAUGGGGACACCCCCAAAAAUGUCACAGGGGGGUGACAAGUGCCAUCCUCAUGGGGACACCCCCAGAAAUGUCACAGGGGAGUGACAAGUGCCACUCUUUUGGUGACACCCCCAGAAAUGUCACAGGGG